rnacentral:tRNA from 1 species
GGCGUAGCCAAGCGGUAAGGCAUCGGGUUUUGAUCUCGUGAUCGCAGGUUCGAAUCCUGCCGC